AUUGAACGCUGGCGGCAUGCUUUACACAUGCAAGUCGAACGGCAGCGCGGGCUUCGGCCUGGCGGCGAGUGGCGAACGGGUGAGUAAUGCAUCGGAACGUGCCCAGUAGUGGGGGAUAGCCCGGCGAAAGCCGGAUUAAUACCGCAUACGACCUGAGGGUGAAAGCGGGGGACCGAAAGGCCUCGCGCUAUUGGAGCGGCCGAUGUCGGAUUAGCUAGUUGGUGGGGUAAAGGCUUACCAAGGCGACGAUCCGUAGCUGGUCUGAGAGGACGACCAGCCACACUGGGACUGAGACACGGCCCAGACUCCUACGGGAGGCAGCAGUGGGGAAUUUUGGACAAUGGGGGCAACCCUGAUCCAGCCAUGCCGCGUGCGGGAAGAAGGCCUUCGGGUUGUAAACCGCUUUUGUUCGGGAAGAAAUCCUCUGGGCUAAUACCCCGGGGGGAUGACGGUACCGGAAGAAUAAGCACCGCCUAACUACGUG
rnacentral:rRNA from 1 species